AUUGAACGCUGGCGGCAGGCCUAACACAUGCAAGUCGAGCGAGCGGCGGACGGGUGAGUAAUGUAUGGGGACUGCCCGAUAGAGGGGGAUAACUACUGGAAACGGUGGCUAAUACCGCAUACUAUCGGAUAACCCAUAUGGGAUUAGCUAGUAGGGGGGGUAAAGGCUCACCUAGGCGACGAUCUCUAGCUGGUCUGAGAGGAUGAUCGGCCAAACGGGGACUGAGACACGGCCCAGACUCCUACGGAGGCAGAAGUGGGGAAUAUUGCAAAAGGGGCGCAAGCCUGAUGCAGCCAGGCCGCGUGUAUGAAGAAGGCCUUAGGGUGAUAAAGUUCUUUCGGUAGCGAGGCGUUAACUACAGAAGAAGCACCGGCUAACUCCGUGCCAGCAGCCGCGGUAAUAC
rnacentral:rRNA from 1 species